UACGGAGGAUGCAAGCGUUAUCCGGAUUUAUUGGGUUUAAAGGGUGCGCAGGUUGUUUGAUAAGUCAGUGGUGAAAGUCUGUCGCUUAUCGGUAGGAUUGCCAUUGAUACUGUUAGACUUGAAUAUGGAUGAGGUAGGCGGAAUGUGUAGUGUAGCGGUGAAAUGCAUAGAUAUUACACAGAACACCGAUUGCGAAGGCAGCUUACUAAUCCAUCAUUGACGCUGAGGCACGAAAGCGUGGGGAUCAAA
rnacentral:rRNA from 1 species